AUGAUAUCAUUGGUAUUUCUUGUGUUUUUUCACAUGUAGGCAAGAAGAGGAAGACCAAAGAAAACUGAUGGGGCUAGUGGUGCGCAAGCUAGUUCACAAGCUAAUAGAUCAUCUAAUGGGGACUCCACUAUCAUUAGGAAGGAGAGAGCACAGGCUAGUGCUUUAUCAGGCAUAAUUUUAUUUUCAUACCACAUGUAUAUUGUGAUUAAUGUUUGAUACUCAUUUUGUUUCUUUAGGCAAGACAAGGAUAUGGACUUUUCAUAUCUGAAGCUACUGGGAAUUCCUAUUUAAGGAUGCCGGGUAGUGAUAGAGUUAUUGACUUUGGAGGUCCAUCCAUUUCCAAGGGACAAACAAGAGCAAGGAAUGUUGUUGAAGUUUCACUAGGCCAAUCUUCUACUAAUAUCUCAGAACCUCCAUGUACUCAAGAAUCUAGAAUUGGUGGUUAACCGUGAAAUUAUGGACCCGAAAAUGCUUGUGCAGUGCCUUCUACUAGAUGUUGAGUUGUAGACUGAAAAGUGCUAGUUUUUGUUGUUUGUAAGUAGAUUUGGCUAUGCAUUAUGUGUUUGGGGAUUUGGCGAUGUCAUUUUGUAUAUGUGAUGUUUUGGCUAUGCACUAUGUGUUCGGCUGGUUUCGAAAGCUUGCCAAGAAAUGAGGCAGAACUUGGAACGUUUGGAUUU